UACAGGGAGGGCAAGCGUUGUUCGGAUUUAUCGGUGGCGUAAAGGGUGCGUAGGCGGCGCGGUAAGUCGGGUGUGAAAUCUCGGGGCUUAACUCCGAAACUGCAUUCGAUACUGCCGUGCUUGAGGACUGGAGAGGAGACUGGAAUUCCCGGUGUAGCGGUGAAAUGCGUAGAGAUCGGGAGGAACACCCGUGGCGAAGGCGGCCAUCUGGACCAGCACUGACGCUGAGGCACGAAAGCGUGGGGAGCAAACAGG
rnacentral:rRNA from 1 species